CAGCUUCAAAGGCAUUUCAGCUUCAAGAAAACCAAGAACCAAGGAAGAAAAACCAUACACACCUUCAGGAAAGUUGGAGUUCCAUAGAAUUCCUCUUGCUUUAACUUGGAGGUCUUCACGUAGCGAGAGACAUAGUUUGCUUUCCCGUCCUUGAUUCGCAGACCAUGCAGCAUUCUGGUUGAAACAAAGAACAAAGAAACUUGUAAGCCAACGCAUGAUAGAACUAAGAGGAAAACUUAAAUACCCAUCUCCGUCGAACCUACAAGUAAGAUGGGGAUAAAAUGGAGAAGAAAAAACGAAAAAAACUACCACUUUCAUACCAGUGGUAGCCUGCAGUAGGCUCGAAUCUCGGAUUUGGUCCAGUGCGCACGAAUUCUCCAUUCAAGCAUUCCUGUAAAGAAAAGAACGAAAAAAUCAAGACAAUGCGAAGACAAAUCUAUUAAAAAAGCUUACCGGGAGAGUGCCAGUUACUGGCAAGUCCACAAAUGGCCCAGACUCUCCAACUGGCGCGAAGUUAUCUUGAAGAAACAGGUUGGAUUUGCUGGAAGCGCUGCUAAACAACUGGACGAGCAAAGCCUCGAUCCCAUCGCAAAGCUUGGCAGCAAUCCUGGCUCCUAUGCCCGGCGUUCUUGGCUGGACGAUCCGGACGCCCAGGGGCAAGCUGCCCAGGAACUUAUCUUGGCUCUCCUUGCGCAGUCUCUCGGUUCCCAUCUCUCCCAAAUGUUCUCUUUUUAGAGUUAGCGUGUGGCCGUUCAUUUGGAAGCUUGUAGAUUCGGAUUGUAAACCAACUACAAAGAAGCACAAAAAGCUUCUUAUCAAAGUUGAUCUCAACCAGUCAUCCUGAAGAACAAUUUGCCACCGUUGGAUGAGUAGUGCAUGCCAAAAUAAAUUUUAGAAACGUAUAAACAACAAGAGAGGAGUGGGGACUACAACAUUUGGAUUUUUCUAUUGGUGAUGAGGUAUAGCGCCACUUAAUCGAAAAUAUCUUAAGCUUCGACAUCACUCCUUCCGAGACUUUUCGGAAAUUCAAUGACUCGGAUUCUAUUCACCUUGGGACUGGACGCCACCGCAGCAGCACUCCCCGCAUUGAAGCCGGAGAUCGCGAUCGCGACGACUGGGCCUCCAAUCCCUUGAUUUCCUUGGAGGACGGCGCGAUAAUUUUGACGUGGCGGAGAAAGAAAGCCAAAUAUCACAUUUUAGGGGCGUGGUUGAAGAAGCUGUGUCAAGAGAAGCGGUUGUAAGUUCUUCGAUCCAAUCAAGGAGCAAUACAUUUCUCAGUGGAAUUUCCUCUUUGUGUUUGUGGAAGCUUAACGAGGUUCUUGUAGGGCCAACUGUUUAGUUUGCGUCUUUGCUUCCAGGGUAUAGGCCUCGAAGAGUACACUGGAUUGGCAUCUAUUUCUCUUUUAUUCUGAGAGGAUUUCUUUGCAGCAAUACUGAAGAUCAAAGGUCUGGAUUGCCUCGUGAAUCUUCGCUUUAGCUCGAUUCAUAAGAUCGUCGGUUCUCCUUGGACAACGCCAACAGGAAUCCACAGCCAAGCCAAGCACAAGCUGGGUACCUAAUGUCACUGGAAGCGGGUUGAUACAUGGUUAAAUGUAUGGGUUUAUCGUGACGAUCCGUCUGGAUCGCUCACGUGGCUGUGUGCUGACGUGGUCUUGUUAGAGCUUGGAGGAAGAUGGACAACACCGUUUCAUAAUAAUACAUGGUAGCGAACGAUCUAAUGGCAAGAGGACAGUGGCAGAGGAAGAAUCAAAGGGACCAGGAACCCUUGGCUCGGGAGCGCGCGAGGGCUUUGGCAGUGCUGGUGGCCCAGCCUGCCGGAAGGUGUGCCUGUUGCGGCCGAGUUUUUCACGAUUCCUUCUCCACGUCGUCCUUUCUAAAUUCUCUGUUUAAUCUAUUCUUAGAUUAAUAGAGAGAAUGUCUUCUGCUAACGCAGCAGGAAAUUCUUGGGAUUCUGGAGGCUGGGAGAAACUUCUCCAAAAGUUCACGGGACAGAAUUUCGCCACUUGGAAAACAAAAAUACAGCUUAUCCUUUUUUGGCCAAGGAUUGCUGGCCUAAUGCAACCCAACGGCUCGACUGGGACGGGUUAGGUCUUGGGGAUGAAUUCGUUCAUCUCCUUGAUCUUACCAAAACAGCCCACCAGAACUGGACAUCCCUUACACAAAUCUUCGCUGCAAAAGCUGCCAAUGCUAAGGUGAUGCUACGAUGAGAAUGCAACCUGAUGACACCAUGGCCACUUACAUUGGAAAGUUUAAAGCGAUAAUCACCGAGAUGAAGGACUUGGAAGCAGCAAUCACCAUUGAUCAAGCUAAGGCAUUCCUUCUCAGCUCUGUCUCCCAACCUUUUGCAUCGAUGCUCUCGGCUGUGCCUGGAAAGGACUUGGACUCGUAUAAUUUUGACGUGGCGGAGAAAGAAUAUUCCCCAAAUAUCACAUUGUAGGGUUCCUGGGCUAAAAGGGGGGAAAAGCAAGAAAUGGGCUUUGAUAUGAGCCCGGCGGGCCUGAAGAAGCUGUGUCGGGAGAAGCGGCUGUAAGAUCUUCGAUCGCAAGGAUUCUUCUCAUGGAUUUCCUCUUUGUGUCUAGGUAUGCGAGUCUUCCAGAGCUUAACGAGGUUCUUCAUCUCCAUCACAGGGUAAUGUAGGGCAUUUUCCACUGCUUAUAGAGCUUUCGCGUCUUUGUUCCAGGGCAUAGUCGAGAUUAAAGGCCUCGAAGAGUACACUGGAUUAAAAACUCUCCACCUCGAGUCGAACGGUAUCUAGUUUUCUUCUUCUCUUUUAUUCUGAGAGGAUUUCUUUGCAGCAAUACUGAAGAUCAAAGGUCUAGAUUGCCUCAUGAAUCUUCGCUGCCUCUAUUUAAACCAGGUAGAGCGUUAUAGUUUUCGCAGUUCUAGUAAGAAACCACCUCACGAUAGAACGCUAGAGAAUGUUUUUCUUUUGUAGAACUUGCUCGAAGAUGUGGAAGGACUUGAUAAACUCCCCCGCUUGGAAGCACUCGAUCUGGCAGAUAAUCAGGCACACAAGGAUUCUUUUUCUUCGUUUGCUUUGUGAGUUUAAUCACUGCUUUGCAGAUCAAGUGCUUGAAAGGACUCUCUUGCUGCCAGUGCUUGCGUCAACUUAAUCUUUCUGGAACAUGCUUUGCCAGGAGGAGAACGUCGCACAUCUCACAGUAAAGACCACAAAACCACUGGACAACAUAAUCUCGCUCGUCCUUUCUUUCGCUAGAAAUGCAAGAGCUUGCAGUCACUCAACAUCUCCAGGAAGAAACUUGACAACGAAGAGUCUCUCCAGGUGAAAGAAAAUACAAGCUUGUCUUUUCUAAUCACUCGGUUUCAGAUCAUUCAAUCGCUUUCUCUCACCCUCUUGAAAAUGUCUGGAAAUCCGAUUGUAUCAACGAUACAACAUUACCGGAAGUUUUGUCUCGUCCAAAUGCCCACGGUAUACUUUUCCUUCACCAGAGAGCGAGAUUUCGAUUUUAAGUUCGCAGCUUACGUACCUGGAUGAAAGUCCUGUCUCUGAGAACGAGCGUCGCCUGGCAAGAGCAUGGACAGACGGUGGAAACGAGGUAAGAUCCAUGGUGCUGAUCAAAAUCUACGAACGAAAAACCAUUUUGUGCUGAUCAGGAGGAGACAUCAAUGCGGGAAACUAUACGCAAGGAAGAAGCCCAUCAGAGAGAGAUCCAUCGUCAAGGUACUGCCACCGUUUUGGAAGGAUGGAUGGUUCUUUAGCCAUCUCUAGAGCAGCAUUUGAAGCCAUGAUCGAGGAAGCGACGGCCGAGCUGGCCGAGAACGAGCGAAAGCAAAGAGAAGCGGCAGAAAGAGCUCAAGAGGAGCGAGCCGAGGCAGCCGCAAGAGAAGAGCAGUGCCGAGCGGAGAUUGCUGCGAGAGAGGAAGCGAAGAGGAGACAAGAGAUCCAAGAGCAGCGGAGAGCCGAGCUAGCAGCGAGGGAGGAGAAGAGAGCCGCCGAGCUUGUAGCGAUGGAGGAGGAGCUAGCCGCGGAGCUUGCUGCGCGCGAGAAGAACUUGUCCGAGGAAGGGAUUAUAGAGCGGCUCGAGUGCGCUGACAAGGAGAGGAAGUUUAAGAAGGAGCUCCAGGAGCGCGUUUUGGAGCGAGUGGCCCAAGACAAGAACGUCGCAAGGCCUAUGCUUUGGGGAACCAAAGGUUACAAGAGUCUCUGGGAAAUAGCAACUAAUAUAGACGACUCUACUUAACAAUCUUUUCUAGCCAAUGGUGGAAGAAAACUUUCGUCCUCUGUGAAGUGUGUGUCAUCUUUUAAAUUUUAGAAGCGUUGUGAAGUUUUACUUUGCAAAAGGGGCCCGGAUUUCUUCCUCUUAGUUCUUGGUAAUCUUGUUAGUGUUUUUCCCAAGAGUGUCUUUCAUAUUCCAGGGACAGGUUUGGAACCCAAACCAAACCAAUGUCUUUUCGAUCUCUCUACAAAACAUAAGUUGUUUACAAUUUAUAUAAUAAUAAUUCAGAAUCCACCAUCGCGUUUGCCAAGUAUACGUUUUUUUUUUCGUGAUCAAUUGUAAGUUUCUCAACAAUAUUCAUGCUUGGUUCCCUAGCUGAUCCUAAACUCGGGAAAUAAAAAAGGAAUUAGGACGAGAAAACAAAUGAGGAAACUCAAUCUCACCUCAUUCACAAAAAUCGAGUGGAAACCAUAAGGAAUCCUUACAGGGAUCGAGACCACAGCAACUGGAUCGGCUGCCAUUGUCUUGGCAUCAAUCACGACUGCCUCCGAUUUUCUGGAAGACAAAAAAAAACAUGAAAAAGCUUGAGCACACGAAGAUGAACUCUCAUCUUACCCCGCCCCUUCGUCGUAAACAAAAGAGAUGAGGUAGCCAUCGUCUUCAUCCGCGUCCUUGUCCGAGCUCUUUGGAACAAACACCGCCUCGGAGCCAAACCGGCGACCUCCAUACAUGAACUCCCCGACCACAUUGCUCCCAACGGGAUUACCACCAUCCUUGGAGAGCUCGGGAUCCUUGUGGAGAUCAAACUUCGCCACUCCUUUGAUCCUCACUUGAUCGUGGAAAACGGCAGCAUACACGUAACGUUGCUUCCUGUGAAAGUACGAGAUUUAUGGAUGCAAACUCUCAAGAGAGCCUAUAACCUUCCUAUGUAGUUUUCGUUGAUGCGAGGAAACUCCACCGCUGGCCCCUUUGAGAGUGGACGCUGCAAAGCAGCACCGCUCUUCAUGUUGAACCGAAAUUCGUAGCUGUGUCCAAGGAUUUUGUGAGGAAAAGAGAGACUUGAAAAAGAAAAGAACUUACAGCUCGAGAACAUGAUCGUCAGUGUCUUUCAUGAGCUCCAUGUCGAACUUUGGCAUGCGGCAAGCAACGAGAACUACCUCGUCCCCGUCUUCCCACGCAUUUGCUGCUUAGAAUCAACAGGUCCAACGUUAGCACAUUUGGAGAAAACUGUGAGAAUUCUAACCUGUGUGGAAAAUAUAACAACUUGGAAGAUGAAACCAGCGCAUCUGGCUGUCGCUGAGAGCAUAACGAGGCAGCACUCCAAAGCGGGACCUCUUCGUGCUGUCAAACGAGAUUAUCAUUUUUCCCUCACCCAUGUUCUGUAAACCAGAAUAAAUAUAUAAAUAAAUACGAAAGAUGAGAGACUGUUUGUGUGUGUGAUUGUCCCACCUUUGGUUUAAAAGUCAUUGGAAGAUCCAUGAAAAUUGCGUAGUUCUCCGUGAUUGCGAAGUCGUGCAUCAUCACGGGGUCGGGGAUGUUGAUGCUUACCGGAUCAUGCAAAGUUCCAUCUUUCGAAAUGACGCGAUAGAUUACGUAUGGUGUUUGCUGUUGGUAACAGAAGAAAAACAUCUCGCCUGAAGAAAAGUGAAAAAAAGAAGAAGAAAAGCUUGACUUUAGCUUGUAAGUUGGAAUGAAAGAACUAACCUGUCACAGGGUCAACUUUGGGAUGAGCAGUAACAGCGUGAGACAAUCUUUUGUCAUAGUCAAGCACGCCAAUUGUCUCAAGGUUCCCAUCUUCGAGCAUUCGAAUAGCAUCUGACAAAAACAAAAAUAAUGUUUCCUACAAAGAUAAAAACAAAGAGGAAACGAGCUUACAUGGUUUGUCAGCCUCUAAUAGUGCUAAAAGUUUCUUGUUGUGAUACACCAUGGCUGUAUUGGCUGCAAAGAAACGGAGAAUACGAUUAAAUGAAAUAAGAAAAAAAAAAAGUCUUCGUUUUACCAGUUCCCAUGCCAUAUUCUGCGUCCACGACACCGAGAGCAACUCGCAGCCGAAAAACAUUCGCUAAGAAAAUCCCAAGUAUUCCUUUCAAAUCUCCCACCUUCAAAGGGAUUUCAGCUUCAACAAAACCAAGAACCAAGGAAGAAAAACCAUACACACCUUCAGGAAAGUUGGAGUUCCAUAGAAUUCCUCUUGUUUUAACUUGGAGGUCUUCACGUAGCGAGAGACAUAGUUUGCUUUCCCGUCCUUGAUUCGCAGACCAUGCAGCAUUCUGGUUGAAACAAAGAACAGAGAAACUUGUAAGCCAACGCAUGAUAGAACUAAGAGGAAAAACUUAAAUACCCAUCUCCGUCGAACCUACAAGUAAGAUGGGGAUAAAAUGGAGAAGAACAAACGAAAAAAAAAACAUUCAUACCAG
rnacentral:lncRNA from 1 species